rnacentral:piRNA from 1 species
UGCUUGCAUUUAGAGAACGUCUGCUGC